rnacentral:tRNA from 1 species
UCGGCGUGCCGAAGGCUGGCGGGACCUUCGAGCUGCUGGUGGCGGCUCCGGACGCGGCGAACUUCUCGCCGGCGCUGGCCCA